rnacentral:rRNA from 1 species
UUUGGCGUCAGCAUGCAGAUCCAUUUUCUGCCACCGAAUACAUUAGCAUGGGAUAAUGGAAUAGGACCCUGUCCUCCUAUUUUCAGUUGGUUUUGGCAGCGCGAGGACUAGGGUAAUGAUUAAUAGGGAUAGUUGGGGGCAUUAAUAUUUAAUUGUCAGAGGUGAAAUUCUUGGAUUUAUGAAAGAUUAACUUCUGCGAAAGCAUCUGCCAAGGAUGUUUUCAUUAAUCAAGAACGAAAGUUAGGGGAUCGAAGACGAUCAGAUACCGUCGUAGUCUUAACCAUAAACGAUGCCGACCAGCGAUUAGGAGACGUUGAAUACAAAACACCACCAUCGGUUGCGGUCGUCCUUGGCGUCUCGGUUUCGGCCGGGGCGCGGGGACGGUUUAGCCCGGUGGCACCGGUGAAUGACUCCCUAGCACUUUUGUGAGAA